rfam:Oryctolagus cuniculus chromosome 12, whole genome shotgun sequence.
ACAAAGGCUCUUUUCAGAGCCACCCACAGCUUUCAUGAAAACUGCU